rnacentral:rRNA from 1 species
AUUACUGGGCGUAAGCGUGUGUAGGCGGUUCGGAAAGAAAGAUGUGAAAUCCCAGGGCUCAACCUUGGAACUGCAUUUUUAACUGCCGAGCUAGAGUAUGUCAGAGGGGGGUAGAAUUCCACGUGUAGCAGUGAAAUGCGUAGAUAUGUGGAGGAAUACCGAUGGCGAAGGCAGCCCCCUGGGAUAAUACUGACGCUCAGACACGAAAGCGUGGGGAGCAAACAGGAUUAGAUACCCUGGUAGUCCACGCCCUAAACGAUGUCAACUAGCUGUUGGGGCCGUUAGGCCUUAGUAGCGCAGCUAACGCGUGAAGUUGACCGCCUGGGGAGUACGGUCGCAAGAUUAAAACUCAGAGGAAUUGACGGGGACCCGCACAACGGUGGAUGAUGUGGAUUAAUUCGAUGCAACGCGAAAAACCUUACCUACCCUUGACAUGUCUGGAAAGCCGAAGAGAUUUGGCCGUGCUCGCAAGAGAACCGGAACACAGGUGCUGCAUGGCUGUCGUCAGCUCGUGUCGUGAGAUGUUGGGUUAAGUCCCGCAACGAGCGCAACCCUUGUCAUUAGUUGCUACGCAAGAGCACUCUAAUGAGACUGCCGGUGACAAACCGGAGGAAGGUGGGGAUGACGUCAAGUCCUCAUGGCCCUUAUGGGUAGGGCUUCACACGUCAUACAAUGGUCGGGACAGAGGGUCGCCAACCCGCGAGGGGGAGCCAAUCUCACAAACCCGAUCGUAGUCCGGAUCGCAGUCUGCAACUCGACUGCGUGAAGUCGGAAUCGCUAGUAAUCGCGGAUCAGAAUGUCGCGGUGAAUACGUUCCCGGGGUCUUGUACACACCAGUCCGUCACACCAUGGGGAUUGGGUUUCACCAUAAGUAGGUAGCCCAACCGUAUGGAGGGCGCUUACCACGGAUGGGAUUCAUGACUGGGGGUGAAGUCGUAACCACGGUAGACCGUAUCGGAACGU